CGGGCUGCGGACAGGCUGGCAGCGGCGCGCGCGGGCUCCUCGGGCGGGCUCCAUGGCUGCGCCGCGGGCGGCACCAUCUCCGUGGCUCGCUCGUCACUCUCUCGCUCCAGGAGUGCGGCAGGCUGCGACCUAGGACCCUGAAGGACUUCUUUUCCUCUGCUUCCUACUCUGCCUGAAAAUUCUGCUGGUUCUGUUUCCCUCCAGUCACAAGUGAGGUAGCUCUUACGUCUUUAAGGAAUCAGCAGUACCUAAAGAAUGUCACCAGAAUCAUCCUGAUGGAGGCAGGAACACGAGGCUGAGAAGAAGAUCUUAAGACCCGUGGGCAAAGCAAGGAAAGAGAGCAUGGACUGAGGGACCAUACCAUACCCUCCUUCUCCAUGUCAUCUGUGUGGCCUGGCUGAAGCUCCUAAAUCAUGGUGAUGAAAAACAUCAAGGACUUGUUUAUAUUUCCAUUGACCCCAUUUUAAUUGUGAAUGGUGAUUUAAAAAAACUCUGGGGGACCAUUUUCAAGAUAUUGUCAGCAAAAUUCCACAGACUGGAAGCUCAACCAACAGACAGAUGGUUUCUGUGACCCUCCAUCCUCUACUGGGAUUCACUUUACUGGAAACAAA
rnacentral:lncRNA from 1 species